rnacentral:tRNA from 3 species
GCGGAUGUAGCUCAGAUGGUUAGAGCGCCAGUUUGUGGCACUGGAGGUCGUGGGUUCGAUCCCCAUCAUUCGCCCCA